GGGCGUUUGGCACAGUGGUAGCGCGCACGCUUUGCAUUCACAAAUGUUGCGUGAGGUCGAGGGUUCAAACCCCCCAACGUCCA